GGGGCACGGUGCGGGGCGGGGCGGGGAAGGGAAAUAAGAUACUGCGAUGCUGGUGAUCAACUUGAAGGUGAGGGAAAUGUUUAUUAUAGACUGCUUCUUGUGCGUGAGGCUGACAGGCAUAACACAAGUGCAGGCUUUGAAGGUAGAGGUUCAGGGGGUGAGGCGAGAAUAGCAGCAAAGAAUUGUGUUUGUGUCUAGAUAUUUAUGUGUGUGUGUGUGUGUGGUGUGUGUGUUGUCAGUGGAGAUAUGUGCAUGUGUGUAAGGUGUGUGUGUGCAUGUGUAUGUAGUGUGUGUGUGCAUGUGUUUGUGGUGUGUUAUAUGUAUGUGUGUUGUCAGUGAGUGUGUGUGUGUGUGUGUGUGUGUGUGUGUGUGUGUAUGUGUGUGUUUGUGUGUGUGUGUUGUGUGAGAUGGGGUAAGGCUGUGUGUAUUAGGCCUACAAGAACCUCGGCGUGCCAGAGUAGGCCUAUGGGGUGGCGGUGUGCUCGUGGCCCGAGGUGGAGACACUGUGCUGCUUGUGGUGGUGCUUGGUGGACGCCCGUGUGAGGAUGAUGGUAAUUUGAAAUGGGGAGCAGAGGAGGGCGUUUCAGAGUUGUGUUCUGCGUCGCGACCACCAUGGCACUGCCGCAGGAUUCCCGCUGCCAUUUCACCCAAAACUUGAGCUCUCUGGAUGCUAAAUACGCAGAGAAAUUACCUUCAUCCCCAAAAUCGCACUCGUUUGGAAUUUGGAAAUUGCCGGGGUGUGAAAAUUCGACUUCAUAGGCUCGUCGGCGUGGCGCGGGUGUGUGUUUUUGUGACCAGGGUGGGGCGCUUGGCCCAGGGAAGGCGCCCAGGGGUAUUAAGUGCAUUAUUCGUGCAUCAGAGGGCCCCCCCAGUCCAAAUUCAUGUGGGUUUCGGGGGGUAGGAGAGAGGCGAGGCUGGGCUGUCUCUGGGCCACAUCACCUCAUCCCCCUCUAGACUGGAUGCUGCCCGGCCACCCGAUCUUCCCCUCGCCUUCGCCCCGUGUCGCCCCGCAGCGGACCACACCUCGGACCAGCCUCGCACCCGCCAGCCCCGCCCCGCAAGCUUGGGGUUCACUUUUAUCGUACUGUGGAGUGAUGGAAAGUGUGAAGCACGGACGGCGAGGGUCUGGAGUGAUGUGCGGAAGGCAGCAGGGCGGCGGCAGGCUGGAGAAGGGAGGGGCGGCUGAACGAUGGUUGUGGGCGAGACAAUUUCCCCGAGCAGCGGCAGCCUCCUCAAGGUCCUCUGACGUAUUCACAUUCCAAAAUGGCGGAAAGGAGGCGCAGGCUCUGGCAGUGCACAGGUGUGUUGGUGCGUGGGUGGCGCCCCUCUCCCCACCGCCGCCGCCCCCGUGAGUCGACCCCGUGGUGCCUGAUGAAAUGAUCGUGAUGAUGCAGCCUCCGUGUCCCGAGUGAAGACGUCCGGCCUCGCGCCACGCCCUUGGGUGAGUUACGCCCCGGCUUUGUUUUUUUGGGUGAGAGGAAGGUGAGAUGAGGGGAGGCUCAUGGGAAGAGGUUGAGGAGAGAGAGAGAGAGAGAGAGAGAGAGAGAGAGAGAGAGAGAGAGAGAGAGAGAGAGAGAGAGAGGAUGUGAGUCUGGAGAAGAAGAGGGAGAUGAUGAUGGAGAAUAGAGGUUAAAUAGGAUGAGGGGAGAGGAAGGAUGAGAGAGAGAGAGAGAGAGAGAGAGAGAGAGAGAGAGAGAGAGAGAGAGAGAGAGAGAGAGAGAGAGAGAGAGAUUAUGGUUGUGACUGCCUUCCCUGCUGCAUCAUCACCAUCGGCCUGACCACAAGGUAAGUCUCUGUCGCUCAUAUCAAUAAAAAGUCUCCAUCUCUGGUAAGGACCACUCGUGUUUUCAGGCAGCAGAGGUGAUCAGACGCGUUCCUGUGAUGUUUUCCUUGUCAACGAUGCAGAAUCCUUGGAAGAAUACCUGUAGAAUGAAUAAAACUCUUUUGAAAACUCCGAUUUUCUUAGAGUUAAACAGGUACUUAACCCUUUCACUGCGACCUGCAACAAUUCACGACACAAAAAGCGAUGUAUGAAAUCUCUAUUCUAUUCACAAGAAAGAAAAGGAAGAAAAAGAAUAUAUUUUACAGUUUCUAGCCGAUGUGAUGUUUGGACGUGGCUGCAGGACGAUAAGAAAUGUAUGCCCCAGAAUGAUUAUUGAUUAAGGAAUGACGUGCCAAGGAGCAGUAGAUGGGUUAAGAUGAGGGGCAGGGGUGUAGGAAUGUCGCACGAGGCAAGGUGUCGCCCGGUGCAUCCCCACACCCACCCUGCCUCAAAUGCCCAUCAACGUGUAUUAAGGGAUAGCAAAGAACUUUAGAAUCAUUUGAUUGCGGGAGGCGAGGCUAUGGUUGUGGUGGUGGUGGUGGUAGUGCCGCGUUCACUCCGGGCGCCACGCGUGAGUCACGGUGGAGGUGAUAGGCGAGACGCGGGAAUCCACCUCGUCAGCCAGUUUGUGGAGUUUCAUCGUCUCAUUUUUCCCCGAACGCAUGCGGGUGUGGUGGAUGAUGAUGCGCCGCAGUAUUAUGUCCACUGUGCCUCGGGACUCAACACCGCUGAGCCGAGCUUUACCUGGGGCCGCGCCUGUCUGGCCUCUCUGUGCCUCACGUGGCCCUCAUGUCAGCUCCACGCACAGAGAGCCUAAUGAUUUUUCUUGUCUUCAAACGAGGACUUGCCGAACGAUUUUUUUUUCUUUUUAAGGAGAUUACGUACAAUAAAAUCAGUGUCUCCCCUCCUUGGUAAUGCUUCUUAAUGUUUUUACAGAGAGAGAGAGAGAGAGAGAGAGAGAGAGAGAGAGAGAGAGAGAGAGAGAGAGAGAGAGAGAGAGAGAGAGAGGGGUGUAUGCGUUAGGGGGAAAUUAAAAAUUCAUCUUGACACAUGUGUAUGGUAGGCAGGUGUGGCGACAGAUGUUACUAGCUAGUGUGUGUGUGUGUGUGUGUGUGUGUGUGUGUGUGUGUGUGUGUGUGUGAUGUAAUAGAGUGUAUGACGGGUAUGGUGUACGGCGGGCGCAGUUUACGUACCUCACCAGGGCGUCAAGGCGGAUGUCGUGCGGUGGAUACUAGUGCAGUGCGUUGUCCAGGGCGCGGUGAGUGUGUCAGGCGUUUUGUGUGCUGGGGGGUUCACUAAGCCCACUGCAUCGGGUGUCAUUCCUGCGUGGAGGUGCCUUUUUUUAAAGGGAGGGAAAAUGUACAAGUCACAUUAUUAUGCGUGAUAUUUUUGAAGAGAGAGAGAGAGAGAGAGAGAGAGAGAGAGAGAGAGAGAGAGAGAGAGAGAGAGAGAGAGAGGCUCUAACUCGCACCUUUUAGGAGGCCCGCCAGGCGCCGGGACACACGUGGCACAUUUCAUUGGUGUCCAGUAGUGACAUUACAUCGCACUGUAAUUAGGUAUAAAAUUAUUUUCUCAAUUAGCAACAUUACUGUAUAUAUGUAUAUACGUAUGUAUGUAUGUAUGUAUGUAGGCAGGUAAAUGUGGGCGGGGAAUCGUGCAUGAUCGUCACUUCACGUCACGUGUAACGGGACUUCCUAAUGACAGUUCCUCGUCACUGAUCAUUAUUCACUAUCACCUGCAGCAUACUUUUUAACUAUUCUUAUUAGCGCUCCUCUCUGUAAUGCACUUUAACAUGUAGGAUUCUUUCCUGCAAGUAGGAUCUCACUUGUCUUUUUGAUGUAAAUAUAGUCAUAAUUGUGAAUAUGUUCAUGUAAUUGUGUGUGCGGCCAACCCACAAACAUGUCAGCUGUCAGCGUGAGUGAGGCGCCACUCGUCUCUGUGGUGAGUGGCGGCUGGGUGGUGCAGGGCUGGUGGCGAGGCGACACACAAGCAGUGUUCUGUCACCCCCUGUCUCUGGUUUCUCAAAACUGUGUAAAUAUUUGAAUAUAUGAUUUUAGUAGCAUUUACAUCUUGAAUUCACCAGAAUACCAUAUAAAUUCAAUGUGAGUGACUUUAUUCCUACAAUAAAGAGGUAAGGAAUAAUAAAAAAUAAAUAAAUAAAUAGGUCCAAGUAAUACAUUACAAACAUCUCUCUCUCUCUCUCUCUCUCUCUCUCUCUCUCUCUCUCUCUCUCUCUCUCUCUCUCUCUCUCUCUCUGUCUCU